rnacentral:rRNA from 1 species
UACGUAGGGGGCAAGCGUUGUCCGGAUUUAUUGGGCGUAAAGAGCGUGUAGGCGGCCAGGUAGGUCAGCUGUGAAAACUCGAGGCUCAACCUCGAGACGUCGGUUGAAACCACCUGGCUAGAGUCCGGAAGAGGAGAGUGGAAUUCCUGGUGUAGCAGUGAAAUGCGUAGAUAUCGAGAGGAACACCUGCGGCGAAGGCGGGUUGCUGGGCUGACACUGACGCUGAUGCGCGAAAGCCAGGGGAGCGAACGGG